rnacentral:tRNA from 1 species
GCGGGGGUAGUGUAGUCUGGUCUAUCACUUGGCGUUGCCAACGCUGCGACUUGGGUUCGAAUCCCAGCCCCCGCA